CGGGAGCUAACAGCGUUUAAGAUCUGGAUGAUGUUGGAAGGAUGUCCUAGAAAAGCUUCUAAGCUUUGAAGCAUACGUGACCGUACUAAAACUGACACAGGUAGGUGAGAUGAGUAAUCUAAGGCGCUCGGGAGAACGGUGUUUAAGGAACUCUGCAAAAUGGCCCCGUACGUUCGCAAUAAGGGGCGCCCACGCAAGUGGGCCACAGAAAAUCGGCACUAGCGACUGUUUAUCAAAAACACAGGACUCUGCGAACUCGUAAGAGGAUGUAUAGAGUCUGACGCCUGCCCGGUGCUGGUAGGUUAAGGAAGAGGGUUAGCGUAAGCGAAGCUCGCGACCGAAGCCCCAGUAAACGGCGGCCCUAACUAUGAGGGUCCUAAGGUAGCGAAGUUCCUUGUCGGGUAAGUUCCGACCUGCAUGAAAGGCGUAACGACUGGUGCACCGUCUCAAACACCGACCCGGUGAAAUUGUAGUCGUGGUGAAGAUGCCACGUACCCGCGGUUAGACGGAAAGACCCCAUGAACCUUUACUGUAGGCUGAUAUUGGGUUGAGAUAUGUUCUGUGCAGAAUAGCUGGGAGGCUGUGAUUCGGGUGCGCCAGCACUCGUUGAGCCAUCGUUGAGAUACCAGCCUGGAUAUAUUUUAAUUCUAACCCCACGCUAUGAAGCUAGGUGGGGGACAUUGUCAGUUGGGCAGUUUGACUGGGGCGGUCUCCUCCCAAAGAGUAACGGAGGAGCUCAAAGGUGCCCUCAGCCUGGUCGGCAAUCAGGCAACGAGCGUAAAGGCAGAAGGGCGCUUAACUGCGAGUCAUUUAAGACGAGCAGAUACGAAAGUAGGACUUAGUGAUCCGGUGAUUCCGAAUGGAAGGGUCAUCGCUCAUCAGAUAAAAGGUACUCUGGGGAUAACAGGCUUAUCGCCACCGAGCGUCCACAGCGGCGUGGCGGUUUGGCACCUCGAUGUCGGCUCAUCACAUCCUGGGGGUGAAGAAGCUCCCAAGGGUUUGGCUGUUCGCCAAUGAAAGUGGUACGUGAGCUGGGUUCAGACCGUCGUAAGACAGGUCGGUCCCUAUCUGCCGUGGGCGUUCGAAACUUGAGGAGGUUCAACUUUAGUACGAGAGGAUUUGGUAGGACACAGCUCUGGUGUACCAGUCGUCGCGCUAGCGGCACGGCUGGAUAGCUAACUGUGGAAAGGAUAAACGCUGAAAGCAUCUAAGCGUGAAGCCCUCUCCAAGAUCAGGUUUCGUAAGUGUUUACACGAAAGUCCCCUGGUAGACUACCAGGUUGAUAGGCCACAUGUGUAAGUUGGGUAACCAAUUCAGCUAAGUGGUACUAACGGACGAAAGCUUGACCAC
rnacentral:rRNA from 1 species